rnacentral:rRNA from 1 species
UACGUAGGGUGCGAGCGUUGUCCGGAAUUAUUGGGCGUAAAGAGCUUGUAGGCGGUUUUGUCGCGUCUGCUGUGAAAAUCCGGGGCUCAACCCCGGACUUGCAGUGGGUACGGGCAGACUAGAGUGUGGUAGGGGAGACUGGAAUUCCUGGUGUAGCGGUGAAAUGCGCAGAUAUCAGGAGGAACACCGGUGGCGAAGGCGGGUCUCUGGGCCGUAACUGACGCUGAGGAGCGAAAGCGUGGGGAGCGAACAGG